rnacentral:lncRNA from 1 species
UGGAAAGAAGUCUUUGCCCAAAAAGCUCACAUUCUAAUUGAGGGAUGUAAGAAAAAAUGAGUAAAAUAUAUUAUAUCAUAUGAUAAGUACUGCAGAAUUAAAAUAAUAUUUAGGUGAUAUAAUCAGACAGUAUCAAGCUAACCCUUUCAUCUUAUAAAUGAAGAAACCGAGACUCAGGGGGGUUGAGCAACAUAUCUAAGAUCACCCAGUUUAUUAGCAAGACAGGAAUAAGAUCCAGCUUACUGUCUCCUAAUCGUGUUCUUUCCCGUGUGCACACACCUCCUAGAUGGUCAAGUCACCCAGCUCCAAAGGUGCGGGGAGGGGCCGGCACUUUGCGUUGGGGAGAAGCGAAAGGUCUAUGUGAAGGGGAAAUGAAUUCAGAGAAAAUUCAGUGGCCAUGA